GAUAGUGUGGCUGAGUGGUCUAAGGCACUGGAUUUAGGCUCCAGUCAUUUCAAUGGUUUGGGUUCAAAUCCUGCCACUGCCA
rfam:Cricetulus griseus cell line CHO-K1, whole genome shotgun sequence.